rnacentral:rRNA from 1 species
GUGCUUGGGCGAGAGUAGUACUAGGAUGGGUGACCCCCUGGGAAGUCCUCGNGUUGNACCCCCNCCCCCAAUUUWNWAAUUUUUUUUUUUUGCUUUUUUAGGGGCAAGUGUACGAAAGGAAACGCGCGUACGAGUGAACAUGGCUUAGAAAAAGAGCACGCGCGACGUAAAACUCACAACGUUCGGCACCGACCCUUWMAAAUAUGGGCACAAAAUCGGAUGAUCGUAACGGUUGGGAAUAUAGGAGUAAGAAGGGAAAAGGAAAA